rnacentral:lncRNA from 1 species
GAAAAACUAAACCCUUUCUGGGUUCUUCUAGCCCUUAAGUCUUUUCAGUCCCUUUAAGAAAACCAGUCCUGAUUGGUGUACUCCCCAAUGACUCCACACUUACCAACGCUGACCUUUGUGUAACUCAGCAGCAGUAGUCUGCGAGGCACAGCUCCUCAGUUAGAACCCACUGGGCCACUGUGUGGUUCAGAAAGGAGCCUUUGUAUGUUUAUAGUAGAAAACCACAAGGAAGUCUUAUGUUGAACAUGGGCCUUGUGUUAAAAUAUUGCCAUCUAGCUUUGUGGUUUUAAUUGAAUUACUAUUCAUUCUCAUGAAUUCUAAACAAGAAGCAGGAAAUUGCUGCUGUCCUUCAGUUUCCAGGGUUCAGAAUGUUGAAGAGAGUCCCCUAAAUGAUGGCAAGUGGGACUCUUGACCCACUUUGAUCAAGUGUUGCAGUCUUUGGCUGUGUCUCUUAGGCCCUGCUGGAAGUGGUAUCAAGACAGGAAGGGAAGGAAGGUGUGUCCGCUUACUAAUGUUGUGUUUAUCUCUCACAGUGCUGCUUAUAGUGGUGUCUGUCUGUACAGCUACUGGUGCCUGGAACUGGCUAAUAGACCCUGAGACACAAAAGGUGUCCUUCCUCACGUCACUGUGGAACCAUCCGUUCUUCACGAUUAGCUGUAUAACGCUGAUAGGCUUGUUCUUUGCUGGAAUACACAAAAGAGUAGUCGCACCAUCAAU